rnacentral:rRNA from 1 species
AUUGAACGCUGGCGGUAUGCUUAACACAUGCAAGUCGAACGAUGAGAAAGAGCUUGCUCUUUCGAUUAGUGGCGGACGGGUGCGUAACGCGUAGGAAUCUACCUAUUAGUGGGGGGCAACUUAGGGAAACUUAAGCUAAUACCGCAUACGCCCUACGGGGGAAAGAAGGGGAUCGCAAGACCUUUUGCUAAUAGAUGAGCCUGCGUAGGAUUAGCUAGUUGGUGGGGUAAAAGCUCACCAAGGCGACGAUCCUUAACUGGUUUGAGAGAAUGAGCAGUCACACUGGAACUGAGACACGGUCCAGACUCCUACGGGAGGCAGCAGUGGGGAAUAUUGGACAAUGGGCGAAGGCCUGAUCCAGCAAUACCGCGUGUGUGAAGAAGGCCUUAGGGUUGUAAAGCACUUUCAAUUGGAAGGAAAACCUCGAAGCUAAUACCUUCGAGUUUGACAUUACCUUUAGAAGAAGCACCGGCUAACUCCGUGCCAGCAGCCGCCGUAA